CCUACGGGUCGCAGCAGUGGGGAAUAUUGGGCAAUGGGCGCAAGCCUGACCCAGCAACGCCGCGUGAGGGAAGAAGGCCUUCGGAUCGUAAACCUCUGUCAGGAGGGAAGAAGUGGCAUGUUUUUCAUAGAGACAUGCUUUGACGGAACCUCCGGAGGAAGCACCGGCUAACUCCGUGCCAGCAGCCGCGGUAAUACGGAGGGUGCAAGCGUUAUUCGGAAUUACUGGGCGUAAAGCGCGCGUAGGGUGCGUGGUAAGUCAGAUGUGAAAGCCCUCGGCUCAACCGAGGAACCGCAUUUGAAACUGGUAGGCUUGAGUACGAGAGAGGGUGGCGGAAUUCCCGGUGUAGGGGUGAAAUCCGUAGAUAUCGGGAGGAACACCGGUGGCGAAGGCGGCCACCUGGGUCGAUACUGACGCUGAGGCGCGAAAGCGUGGGUAGCAAACAGGAUUAGAUACCCUCGUAGUC
rnacentral:rRNA from 1 species